AGAGCGAACGCUGGCGGCAGGCCUAACACAUGCAAGUCGAGCGCCCGUAGCAAUACGGGAGCGGCAGACGGGAGAGUAACACGUGGGAACGCGCCCUUCGGUUCGGAAUAACUCAGGGAAACUUGAGCUAAUACCGGAUACGCCCUUACGGGGAAAGAUUUAUUGCCGAAGGAACGGCCCGCGUCCGAUUAGCUAGUUGGUGAGGUAAUGGCUCACCAAGGCGACGAUCGGUAGCUGGUCUGAGAGGAUGACCAGCCUCACUGGGACUGAGACACGGCCCAGACUCCUACGGGAGGCAGCAGUGGGGAAUCUUGCGCAAUGGGCGAAAGCCUGACGCAGCGACGCCGCGUGAGGGAUGACGGCCUUCGGGUUGUAAACCUCUUUCAGCCCUGACGAAGCGAAGUGACGGUAGGGCAGAAGAAGCACCGGCCAACUACGUGCCAGCAGCCGC
rnacentral:rRNA from 1 species